rnacentral:rRNA from 1 species
UACGUAGGGUGCGAGCGUUGUCCGGAUUUACUGGGCGUAAAGAGCUCGUAGGUGGUUUGUCGCGUCGUCCGUGAAAUCCCAUGGCUUAACUGUGGGCGUGCGGGCGAUACGGGCAGACUUGAGUACUGCAGGGGAGACUGGAAUUCCUGGUGUAGCGGUGGAAUGCGCAGAUAUCAGGAGGAACACCGGUGGCGAAGGCGGGUCUCUGGGCAGUAACUGACGCUGAGGAGCGAAAGCGUGGGGAGCGAACAGGAUUAGAUA